rnacentral:rRNA from 1 species
CCUACGGGGGGCAGCAGUGGGGAAUAUUGGACAAUGGGGGCAACCCUGAUCCAGCCAUGCCGCGUGUGUGAAGAAGGCCCUCGGGUUGUAAAGCACUUUCAGUGAGGAAGAACGCCUGGUGGUUAAUACCCAUCAGGAAAGACAUCACUCACAGAAGAAGCACCGGCUAACUCCGUGCCAGCAGCCGCGGUAAUACGGAGGGUGCGAGCGUUAAUCGGAAUUACUGGGCGUAAAGCGCGCGUAGGUGGCUUGAUAAGCCGGUUGUGAAAGCCCCGGGCUCAACCUGGGAACGGCAUCCGGAACUGUCAAGCUAGAGUGCAGGGGAGGAAGGUAGAAUUCCCGGUGUAGCGGUGAAAUGCGUAGAGAUCGGGAGGAAUACCAGUGGCGAAGGCGGCCUUCUGGACUGACACUGACACUGAGGUGCGAAAGCGUGGGUAGCAAACAGGAUUAGAUACCCUUGUAGUC